AAUAGUAAUUCAACCUAGUACAAGAGGAACUGUUGAUUUGCACAAUUGGUCAUCGUGCUUGGUUGAAAAGCCAGUGGCGCGAAGAUACCGUGCGUUGGAUUAUGACUGACCACCUCUAAGUCAGAAUUCGGGCUAAAAU
rnacentral:rRNA from 1 species